AGGCUGCCAGUCUGUUGCGAUGUGUUAAGCAAUGUAUUCAUAUUUAAUUGAAAAAUUAAUCAAUGAUUUUCAAUACAUUUAUGAUGCGUUUUUGAUUACUGAUUCCAAGAUGGCGUUGUGGUGUUUAUAGAAAUCCUGUUUGGGGUUUUAAAUGUUAUUUCUGUUUCCUGUUUGAGCAGCUCUGCAGUCAAUGUCCAGGUGGGUCAGUGGGAGCAGAAGCCCUCUACUAAUGUACAGGCUCUGAUCAGCAACAUCCAGCAAGACCCAUACAGCCUCUACCUGCUGGAGCUUUUUGUUUGCCUGUGACUGGAGAGUCAGAUUUCUAUUCGGGGGUUGCAGCUCCCUGUGCUGGAGAAACCACUUCACACCUGCAGAGGUGAUAUGAUUGUGAGGAAGCAAAGCUCAGGAAGAAGGAAUCCCUGCAGUCCUGUUCUUUCAGCUCCAAGCCUGCUCAGAGAAAGCAGCAGACAGUUUGAGGGGUUUGGGCUCACAGAUGGUGACAGCAUGGAGAGACUGUGGUCCUUCCCCUGAAGAACUGCAGGAGUCACAGAGGAGAUGACUCCAUCUCACUGUCUGGACUUGCUGACUGAUGUUCUUCUGCACUGCAGAUGCUGAUUGUGACCUCAGAGGACAGCUGGUCUGCAGAGUUACAAGUGAAUCAAGGCAGAGGUCAGUCUGCCUGCAGCUUCAAAGAAAGCAUCCAGACUCAGAUGGGCAGGAUCUCAGCAUCAGACUGUCCAAACAGGCUCCAGCUUCAACAGCAGACUGAGACAGAAACAAGAGAAAACAGCAGCUUCAGUGGGCUCCACAGGUCAAAGGUGACAUUUCAAGGGGUCUUCAAAGAAGAAGGGACUGAUGUCAUGCAUCAAUCACAGCGAUUAUGAAGAUGACAACGAGAGCAGCUACAACUGUAAAAGUCUGACCACGACUGUUUUGCUGCUUCCUGAUUAUUAAUGAAUGUUUGUGUCUUUUGUCAUUAAUUCUUUUGCCGUCAUUUGUUACAAAAAAAAUUCACCAAACUCAGUUUGUGUUAUUUAAUUUUUACAGGCUACACUCACUGCACACAAGAAAACAUUCAUUUUAACCACUGAUGACUCAGUGACUUUAUAAAAGCUUUUAGUAGUCCAGCCUUUGACUAUUAACACUUACCAUAUUGUACCUGUACAGCAUGGUUUUGUACAUGUAUGAAAUUUCUUUAAUGUUGAAGUCAUUUCCUGAUUUAGUUUGUAAUCUUUGUUGGUUUUCUCUACUUUGAAACUGAUUGUGAGUCAGUGUGUAACCUCACCUGCUUCCCUUUGUUCCACAUGACUUUAAGUUUUUUGAUUUCUGUUUAUUUAAAUUUCCAUUUCAUUUUGAUCUGUGUUGUGUGACCCUUGCAGACUGGUUUGUGGACUGCUUG